rnacentral:rRNA from 1 species
ACGUACACUCCUGCGGGAGGCAGCAGUGGGGAAUAUUGGACAAUGGGCGCAAGCCUGAUCCAGCCAUGCCGCGUGAGUGAUGAAGGCCCUAGGGUUGUAAAGCUCUUUCACCGGUGAAGAUAAUGACGGUAACUGGAGAAGAAGCCCCGGCUAACUUCGUGCCAGCAGCCGCGGUAAUACGAAGGGGGCUAGCGUUGUUCGGAUUUACUGGGCGUAAAGCGCACGUAGGCGGACUAUUAAGUCAGGGGUGAAAUCCCGGGGCUCAACCCCGGAACUGCCUUUUGUACUGGUAGUCUUGAGUUCGAGAGAUGUGAGUGGAAUUCCGAGUGUAGAGGUGAAAUUCGUAGAUAUUCGGAGGAACACCAGUGGCGAAGGCGGCUCACUGGCUCGAUACUGACGCUGAGGUGCGAAAGCGUGGGGAGCAAACAGGAUGAGAAACCCCUAUAGUCCCAUGAU